rnacentral:rRNA from 2 species
AGGUGUGAUCAUACCUGCACUAAUGCAAUAGAUCCCAUUAGAACUGCGGAGUUAAGCGUGCUUUGGCAAGAGUAGUACUAGGAUGGGUGACCUCUUCGGUAGUCCUCGUGUUGCACCUC